UUUCUGCGAAUUCGAGUUUUUCCGAUUCAGUUUCAUUUUGUGCGCCGAGCUGCUCGCAGGUCCCGUGGAACACGCGGAUGCAAGCACACACCGCAAGUGGUACCGCAAAACCGUGUCCUCUCGUUACCCCCCAUGUGGUAGCCCUCCCUCGUUCGUCUCGUUCGUGAAAAGUAGAAGUAAACGGAAAACGGCAAGGAGCAGCGAAUCGUUCGAGUUCCACCGCCGGGCAGCGUGUGUUGUACCUGCCGGACAAGCACAAGUGACAGUUUUAGAGAAGUGAUUUAGAAGUGAAAAGAAGCAAACACAAAAUACACAAAAAAACAGUACCUACACAUAUAUGUUUCUACGUUGAUAAUUCUAACAGAAUGACAGUCUGUCAAGUGACGUUUUGUUUGAGAAAGCGAAGAGAAUUUUGAUUGUGCUUUAGAAUUGAUCAACCGACGAGUUCCGACGAGAAAUUGUGAAUUGUAUCAAGUGCGCCAGUGUGAAUCUCGACCCAACUGACGAUCCUCCAAUCCCAUCCAACAACCCUUUAGAAGCGAUCCAAGUGGAGCUACCGGUGGAAACAACACCGUGAAAAUAAAGCAAACGCUUUCACGAUAAUUGUGUGUCCUCGAUCGAGCUUAGUACCCGAGCAUCCAAUCCGAGUAUCGAAUUGUUGCCGCACCCAUAGCCUUGUUCCUGACCCGUGUAAGUGGUGUUUAUUGUGGUGCAACGAAAGCGAAAGUUUACCGUUUAAAGCGAAAAGUGGGUGUGCUAUAGAAUUUUAGUGAGAUAUUUCGUGAAAGUGUGAAAUAGCCGCCAAUUUCAAUCGAAACCCAACAAAAAAUCGUGUGUGCUUGUGGUGUUUAGUGUGUGUGUGCUGUUAACAGUGAAAAGGGCGUAAAGUUGCGGGUAAAGCUCCCUUUGCGCGCGUAACAAUGCCUAUCCAUAGCAGGAUGAAAGCUCGUGCAAUAGUGCCAAUGUCCCAUCGAUCAGCCAUACCGAGUGCGUCGGUCGAGCAGCGCUGUGUCUGCUGAAAACGAAGUGUUGUACAACGCAUUGUUUUUUUGGUGUGUUAUCGCUUUUCGGCGAUUCACUUUUUCGCCAAUCCGUGGAACGUAUCGCGAGAUUUGUGGUGCAUAUGUGUAUGCGUCCUGUGUGAGCGCAUGUGUGUGUAUGUGUGCGUUUCGAUAUACAAGUGCGACUUGUCGCCGUGACCCAGCAGUGUGCAGUGUGCUGUGAGAGCAAGAAAAACCAUGAAGAAAUCAACUGACAUGUGUCAUUACCGAUCAGCGAAGAAGUUUAAAUUAUUGCCCAAAAUCCGAGCCAGUCCAAGAUAUCGGGAGGCACCCUAGAAACGAAGAAAUUUGCAGGGAAGCGUGUGCAGUUUUUCGUUGUGCGAGUGUGAAACCGCACACAGUUAAUGUUGCGUCUCCUUCCCAAGCUCGUCCGUGUGCAAUCCGUGGGCCGACAGCUGUCCGGGCAGCUGACACUGUACACAAGGUCGUACCAAACUCAAAUUUGCCACACCGAAGAGACGAGAUACCGAAGUUUUUUUUUGUGGGAACCGAUUGAGUUUCCACCAGCCAACAGUAUUCGCGACGCGAAGUGUUCUGUUCGGGACACUAGAAGCAAAUUCCAAGGGCAAACAGGCAAGAAGGCAUCUGCAACAUACAUUGCGAAGAUUCUAAGCGGAAACUAAAGCAACUAGCCUAGAUCCUAGUAUCUCCAAGAGUCGUCCGCUCUAAGAAAAUACGAUCGUGGAUCGACCCGACCGUCCAAGAGGAUCUUCAGAGCAAAGCAAAAUAACGCGGAUCCGACUAGGGCCAAAGAUAUUGCCGUACCAUACCCCACAAAACAAACAUACAUACCAGUCAAACUGACGAGACGCCAUGUACUUACGCAAAUGGAGUCCAGUAAAAUAUUUGAUGUACCUAUGGCUUGCAAUUCUGGUUUGGAUGUUCUCUCGGUGUGAUAGUGCCGCCACGAUGCACCUGGCACCGCCACCGUAUCACAGCAGCGGCUUCCAGGGCACACCCGGUGGCCACUCCAGUAGCAUUAGCAGCAGCAGCAGCAUUAGCAGUAGUGGUAGAUAUGUUAGUGAUAGCCGUAGCACAACAACUAGCGUUAGUAGUCACACCUCGGCGCCGGCGCACCGUGUGGAGGAGGGUCUGUCCGGCGGUGCGAUUCCGCCCCGGUUAUACACUAGCUCCGGUGCGCCAUCCACCGCAUCAUCAUCACCACCACCACUGCCGCUGCUGGUCCUGCCCAGGAGUGCGCCCUGGCCCUGGCAGCAACCGGCGGCCAGUCGUGGCUCUGAAGCGUCUGCUGUGCAGCUGCUUCGGCGCACCAGUGCCAACACCAAAGCCGAGCAGCCGGGCCGGACAUUACCAGCAAACCAGCUGAGCGAGCUCGAUCCGCAACCGAUCGCGCUGCCAGCGUCCGCCGGGGAGGAGUCAUCCACUGGCAACAGUAGUAUUAUCAAUGCGGAACGCUCGCUGCAGCAGCGUUGGGCGUCCCAGAUGCGGCUUAAAGGCGAGCGUCGCCGACUGCACAGGAGACGUUGGCGAACGGCAAACAACAGCAGCAGUCGGUCUAGCAGCCUGCUCGCCAGCCGCAAUCGUCGUGAUUCGGCCCUGCUGCCGACCGGAUACGGCGGUAGCGUCCGGCCAGCGUCUACCGGCAGCGGACAACAGCACCCGGUGCGACCGCAGCGACGGAACGGUACCGGUGGCGGCCCCGGUCAGCGCCGCUACUGUUCCGCCCGCGAUCCAGCGACGCUCGCGUUCGAGGCACCGAUCGUGUGCGAAGCGAAGGUAAAGUCAAUGAGCGACCGGCGACCCAUCUUUGCCGCCACGUUCGAGAUACUGGCGCUGCACAAGCUGCCACCGAAGGGGCGGCCGCUGCGGGGCCUUACCGUGCGGCUGCAGUUCAACCUGACCACCGCGAACGAGUGCGACAUCUUUCGGGGGAAGUUCCGCGAGCGGGGCUUCGUGCGCGAGGAGCUCGAGCUGGGCAAGGUGUACUUCCUGUUUCUGAAACCGAACAUGCGCUACACCAACUUCACCAUUCUCGGGCAGCCGAUCCGCAAGACCAAGCGGUCGGAGGGCGGUGUGCUGCAGGGCGUCAAUCCUAACUACGGUACCCGGCCAGCGAUCCACUUCAUCACACCGAACGUGACGCGCGUCGAGGGCAAGCGGGUGCGGCUGGUAUGCAAGGUCGGUGGUCAGCCACCGCCGAAGGUGGCCUGGUUCAAAGACAAGCGGCUGAUCAACCGGAACGCCACCAAAUACGCCCAAGUGCAUCUGAAGAAACGGUCCGAGCUGAUCAUCUUCAACACCAGCACGACGGAUUCUGGAGAGUACGAGUGUCGGGCCAAAAAUAGAUAUAACAAUUCGUCCGUCUUCAACUCGACGCACGUUAAAAUUACCUUACCAAAAGCGACCAUUCCUGCGGUCUACUCGCGGUCCUGCGCCGACAGCCAUCGGGACGACUUCUGCCACAACGGCGGCACGUGCUUCAACAUCGACAGCAUCGGGGAGCUGGCUUGCUACUGUCCGAAAGGAUUUUCCGGUUUUCGGUGCGAAAACAAGGACAGCGAGUUUCAUCCGGUCUCUUCGAACAAGCAGCAGGACUGUACAUCACAGCGAUACGCAGGUUAUUAUUGCUAAAUAAGGCUUUAUAACAUCAGCAAACAAAACCACACACUCACACACCCACCCACACACACCAACCCCCCCUGAUUGCAAACGAACGAACAGAAAUGAAAAACAAAAAACAAAACAAAAACCUCCCUCGAAUCAGCGGUCACGGUGCGCGGUUCGGCAUCUGGAGUAGCGAUCGGGUGUUUAGGUAAUCGGCCCGCCACACCAGCAGGCUGUCUGUCCCGCUCCGUAGAAAGAACGCAGGAAGCAAACCGCCCGGACCCCACGACGACGACGACGCACACGAAUGCCGCGGACCGUUGAGAGCCGUUUUAAUGCCGGACAUUGUUGCUCUCGUUUGUUGGGGAUGGCGGCCAUGGGAGGGGGGGGGGAGUAAUUAGUCAGCGAAAAAACCAAAAAUUAACACUAGUAGAAAAUCGUCCUAGCCGUAGGGUAAACAAACACAAAAUCAUACACAAACGCUGUGGUAUUACAUUUGAAAUGCCAACUAAAGCGACGUACCAACGGACGGACGUUGUGUUGAGAAAGCGAUAGGAAGCAGCGGGAAGAACGGAUUGGUUAUGGAAGUAGCUAAAGUGACUUAUUUUCCAGUUCCACUAGCCAGUUCCCUUCAUUCGCUCUCUCUCUCUCUCUCUCUAUCGUUCUCCACCGUAGACGUUUGGUCGUUGGUUUUGUAAAUACCAGCCUGUAAAGCAAAGGGAGUACGCAAUCGCAGCAAAAGCUGAACGUUCUAACAAAACAAUUUUGACCCAAUGGCAAAGCCGGAUUAGGAACAUGAAAAAGGAAUUAACAACCAAGAUAGCUAGCCUGUUCUUGUAUAGUACACUGGUGCACAUGGGACAAUACAGGAUAAAAAGGUAGGCUAAAACAAAGCGUUAAACACGACAAGUAUAAAACAGCGGCAGCGAACGGAAAAGCUGACGGUGACGGUGUGCGCUGUGUGGAAAAGGAAAAGGGGGUGGGAAAAAAGUUGAUAGUACAAAUUUGUGUAUAAUGUAUAAAGUGAAACCUAUUUAUUGUUUUAUGUGUACGUAAGCAUACUACUCUCCCGUUAGCUCCGAGGGGCAAGGUGAACACAGAGUGGAGGUGAACAUUUUGCAAAACCGGACAAGGAAGUAAUAGUAAACCGAAUCAUAGGUUUAAUAUAAACUAUAGUAAAAAAAGGGGGAAAAAGAAUACAGCACUCCGAGUACAGAGUGUUGCAGACGGCAGACGGAAUAAAAGCAAAGCAAGAUAACAAAAUAAAAGAAACAUUAAAAAAAAUACAAAGAAAAGCAGCAAAUCAAAGCAAAGCAUACUUCAAUGGGUUCUCAACGAAACAACAUGAAGGAAAUCAAACAACGGCAAACGGAACAUCGUGUAACGCAACCGAAUCAAUUAAAGUAAAACAUUCCAACGCACUCCCGGAUCAUCACCUUGCACCUGAAAAGGCGGCCGGAAAGAAGGAUGGAGGAAAAGCUUUUUUGUGGAAAUUUGAACGAGAGAAAAUUACCUAUAAGCAGAACAAACAAAGCUCUAAACAAUGUUCUUUGUGGAUUUAUGUGGAGACAUGGUGUAAAUUGGUGUUGGUCUUUUUGUUUUGUUUCUACUAUUGUUAUGGCACAAUAUGACAUUGGAAAACGGUACAAGGAAUCUAACCCAAUGCAGAAAGGUGUUGGAUUUUUUUCUUUCUUCUACACUUUCCCUAACGAACGAGCUUUCAAACCUUUCAGUAAUGAUUUAACUGUCAUUCUACCACAACAGCUAAACGAGCAGUAUAUAAAUUAACCCUGACAAUGGUAUCGUAAAUACUUUUUACCCGGUUUUAUAUCAUCACACUUUGAACGUGUUAAUCAAUCAGCAUGCAAAAAACUAUUCCAUGACAUUCAAUUGGUUUUUGGGAUUCUAGAUCAUGGUUUUGGAGAGUGGAUCGACAUUUGUGUAUGUAUAGCGCUAAGCCAAAUCGUCUUGCAAAUUAAAACAUAAAGCUUCAUGAGAAGUUUCAAUACAAAGCUCCUAUUCAGCACUGAUACCCAAGCAACAAAAUCAACAUGCUUUUUCGCAUGGCCAACUUUGAUGGACAGAACGACACGGCUGAUUUUGCUCCCUGGGCAAUUUGACAUGAAACGUAAAGAUGCGUAACAGUAUCUCUAUCUCUUUCUCUCUCUUUCACACAAAAAUACACAUUUUUUCUCUCUCCUUUUUUCUUACACACUUUCUCUUUCUCUCUUCCCUAUCCAUCGCUUGCGAGCCUGUUGGUUAAGGUGUUGGGUAGUUUCUCGCUUUUUCCUUAGUUAUUGUAGCAACCAUCCCACUGCGUAGCUCUUUUCUCACAUUCAAACGUCAAAGUUCGCCCGUUACUGGAGAUGUGCGGAGAGGUUUAUUAAGCACAUGUUCUCAAAUGUUACCAAUGCUUGUUUUCCCGUCGUAUGGCGCAUCCACUCAAUUGUCAAAGCAAAUCGAAGAGCGCUAAAUAUUAGUAUUGGAAAGCCAGCAACACAGUUGUACAUGUUGAACAUGCUAUUCAUUGUUCAUUGCUCUUAUUGUAAAUAAUGAAAAUAGAAGCGUUAGAUAGUCGAUAGUUAGACACUUUUCUUUUCAAAAUCUCAUAGAACAAACAAUCACGCAUGAGUAUUAUAGGAGAGGUUAGUUGGCCCAAAAGGAUGCUCAGGCAGCCAGGCAACGAAGCGCAAAAAUCGAGCGACAUUGCUAGUCCAGUAAUCAUGUUCGUGCAUAUAGGGAUGCCCUAACGUGUGGGCCGGGAAAGCUUCCCACUGUGCUAGUGGUAACAGUAGUAAUAAUAAUAAUAAUAAUAAUAAUAAUAAUAAUAAUAGUAAUUAAUAGGUACUCAGUAAAAUAUAUUGGAGCGAUAGGCAACACUGGAACUGUUAUGGGUAGACAAAGAGCGAAAAGAAAAAUCGCCAUCAUUGCAGUGAGAGUAACGGUACCACAAAUAAAGGCAAGCUAGAACACCGUACAUGGAAAGCAUGAAUUUUUUGUCUAAUGUUGUGUGUGAGUGUGCGUGGGAAGAAAACGACGGACUGCAACGAAUCUGCAUUCUGUUCCCAAUCGUACGCUCGCCUUAGCUUAGAGCCUGCCCGAACUUAAAGACUGCUCACACACACACACACAAACGCAAGCCAGCACAGCGACAAUCGAGCGACGAACAUAAGACUGAUGAUGCAAAGCAAGCAUAAACAAACACAAAAUCGAACGCAAGCAAUCAAACCACCCAUGUUUGACCUUUGUUUUGGGGUGCUGCUCCAAAAUGCUCCAAAAAAAAAGGGCAACCGAUUGCCACCAUACCAUCCUCGAUCACCAAAGGACGCCUGUACACAGAAUGUAUGGACUUUUUCGUGAUGGACUCUCCCGCACCGGCACUGUACGAGUAUGAAGAUGAUGAUAAUUGAUUCAUGUGAUAUGGCACCGCUUCUUCAAACGACGCCAGCUGGAGUUGAUUGUCCCGCGGAACAGUCGGCUGCUAGGCGACCGAGCUCCUUCCAAACCCAAUACACAGUCACUCACACAUUCACUCACACGUCCACUCACAUAAUUAGUGCACACAUACACACACAACACAGUUGGCCAGUAAACUACUUAUGCCAUAUUUUACUUAUGCCUUAUUGCUGGCCACUUUGAAAAUUUGUCCGUCAGCAAUAGAAAGUGAGCAAAUAGUGCAAAUAGGAAAGCGCGCACAAGCACAAACAUAGCCAAGUAGCAAAGCAUUAAUCGGUGUGCUUUCGGUGUCAAAAUGAUAGUGAGGAAAAAAGUAACAAUAACUACUACAUUAAUGAAAAACAGCCUGUACUUUACAGUUAAGUAUGCCUCCAAUGCUAUAAGCGAGCAGCAGGUUAAGUUUUAAGUUGCCUUCACGUAGAUAUGCCGCAACACACAUGACGGUUUUUAGCAAAACAAAACACAUUUAAAAAUACCAAAGAAUGUAUAUAGCUAAGCAGCAGCAACCAGGCGACGCAAAAUAAAUGGUUUAUUAAACCUUGCAUUGAUCAUAAACACGCAUUCAUUAGUGAAUCAUCGGUGUCGCUAUGCAAGUGGACGGAGGGAUUUUUUCUUCUUUUUGUUAACUACGGAAGGAUGAAGAAGUAGAUAAAAACAUGCUAAAAAGGACAAAUAAACUUAUAAAUUGUAUUUUAACUUUCAACGGCAACGCAUUAAUGCAUAACCUUAACCGUGAAUUGAA